GGGCGGGUUGGCGGAGAGUUGUCUGCCGGCCUUGGGUGGCAACGUGCGCGCGAGGAGCAGCGAUGCUUCCUCCUCCACCACCACCACCGCCAUGAAGGAAGCCCGCGCGGGCAAAACAGUUUGAAGACCUGCUCCAGAAUGCUACUUAUACAGAGAAAACCUUGUUUUGUAUCAUAUAGGAAAGGAGAAGAGAAUACCUAUAUGAGAACACAACAAGCAGCAUGGCGGAUUCAGAAGACCUUUUGCUGAACAAGGCAAAGGAAGAUCAAACUGGUAAUUGCAUUGUAAAAGUGAACUCUGGUAAACAUUACUUCUGUGGUUAUUGUGCAGCCAUUACAAACAUUGCAGUAACUUUCCCAAUCCAGAAAGUCCUCUUUCGUCAACAGCUGUAUGGGGUACGAACCAGAGACGCAAUAUGUCAGCUACAGAAAGAUGGAAUCAGAAAUUUGUACCGAGGUAUCCUUCCUCCGCUGAUGCAGAAGAGCACAACCUUGGCACUGAUGUUUGGCCUAUAUGAAGAUUUGUCUUCCGUGCUGCUCAGACACAUAAGUGCACCUGAAAUCUUUGCCCGGAGCUUGGCAGCUGUGCUUGCUGGGACCACAGAAGCUGUCUUGACCCCUUUUGAGCGUGUGCAGACACUUCUGCAGGACUACAAACAUCAUGACAAAUUUACAAACACCUACCAAGCGUUCAGGGUUCUUCGAGAGCAUGGGGCCAGGGAAUAUUAUCGGGGCUUGGUGCCAAUCCUACUUCGGAACGGUCCUAGCAACGCUCUCUUUUUUGGCCUGCGAGGGCCCAUCAAGCAGUGCCUGCCAGAAGCAACAACUUACAGUACUCAUCUGAUCAAUGAUUUUAUAUGCGGAGGGGUAUUGGGUGCUAUGUUGGGGUUUAUGUUUUUCCCUUUGAAUGUUGUCAAAGCCCGCAUGCAGUCACAGAUUGGUGGGGAAUUCCAGUCUUUUUCCACAGUCUUUAUGAAGAUUUGGGUGGAGCGUGACAGGAAACUGACACAUCUCUUCCGAGGGGCCCAUCUAAAUUAUCACCGGUCCCUGAUUUCUUGGGGAAUAAUUAAUGCAACUUAUGAAUUCUUGCUUAAAUUACUAUAGUUGGUUAUUAAUUUUCUCUCUUCAGUUGAGCAUCGGACAAUCCUGUGUUGUCAGUUUCCAAGAUAUAAUGAGAACACACUCGCAAGUAUCUCUGACUCCAUAACAUUUGAGAAACUAAAUUGCCAACAAAUGGUGGUUUCAGUUGGUAUGGAUAUCAAAUAUUUAUGCAGUGCCUAACUAGUUCAAAAUAUAAUUUUAUUCAGUCUUGUUCUUAGCCUUCCAAUCUAUGGAUGUGGCAGCUGUAUGACUAAAACAAUUAACCGAGAAGUUUCCUGAAAUAUAAAGCCAGCGGACUGAUUCACUCAAAGCAUAAUAAACUAAAUUUCAUGCUGGCCUAUGAAAAUUUGCUCCAGGUCACGUUCAGCUUUAUUCAAUCAACACUCCUGGUGAUCCAAAGAAUGCACUUCAUAGAAAAUAGCAGAGCAAAAAACAAACAAACCCUGAUAUUUAAUUUGUUGUUUGACCAUUUGUAACAAAUGGUAGCAUUUUUUGUAAUAAGUGGACUUUGAGUUUCCAUGAAGCUUCAUGUCCCCCCUCUUGGUUUUUUUAUGAUGAUGAUUAUGAAUAUUAUUGUACUUUGAAAAGAGACUGCCAAAUGUAGAAGAGAAAACUCUUGUUCUAAAACAGGUUCCAAGUAGUUUUGGAGCACUACUGAUGCAAAUGACAUCUUGUCAUCAUUAGUAUUAAAUUUUAGAAAUAGUAGGAUGUAUCUCUACUAUUAAAUAGUGGUUGUUGACUAUAGAUGAAAGAGUGAGAAAAGCACUGAAAAGCUUUAAAAUAUUCUCCAACUUGCACUGUCACUGAAUUUUUCAAUGUCAAUUAGGUGUUUAAAGUAUUGAUUUGGUGAAAUAUUCUAAUCCAGGGUUUAGAAAGUUUGGUACAAAUUGGUAAACUUAACUAAAAGUAAACAGGAUAAAAUUCCAGGUAUUAUUUACUGGUACAGUACAACUGAUUGAAUGGGUUAGACACUACAUCAGGGGUGUCAAACUCAUAUAUCAGGGAAUUUUUUUCCCCUUCCCUAAACCGAGUGUGUGUGUGGCCAGUGUGUGAUGCAUCCGGCCCACAGGCCAGGAGUUUGACAGCCCUGCUCUACAUCAAUCUAAGGUCUAGUGAAGCAGAAUUUUUGCAUACCAAAAUGAAAUGUUUAUUGCAAUUUUUCACAGUAUUUUACUCUGUUGAAAAAGAAAUUGCAGAGCUAUUUCACACACCACUCACGAGUUGUUUAUAUUGAGGAUAUAUGAGUUUGCAAAAGGCUAGCUUGCUCUUUGCUUUUCCUUUAAUGCAGAUGAGUCUUCAUACAAAAAAAUCUGACAUGAGAGAUUCAUCCAUCCACUUUUAAUAAGUGACAAAAUUGCCUAAAUCCUUGCUUUAUACUGUAUAUAGCCUGUCUAUUCUCAGUCUAUAAACUCGUGUGACGGACCAUGAAUAUAUUAAA